CUCCAUUUCUUCCCCCGUACUCCCUUCUUGCAGACAUCCAAGCUCAAGGUUCAGGUGGUAACUUUGCAGGAGAUCGAGUUUAUUAGGGAGAUUUGCUUGGUUCAGAUCAUUCUCGCGCCGGAAUCCAAUCGCAUCUCAUUUCUUCAUCUCUAUCUCCUUCCUCAGCAAUGGUAGACAAUAACGUCUUUAUCCCCAUCAUUGACCGUGACCAUAACUUCAAUAUCCGUCCCAUCAUUGACCGUGCGUUGGAAAGGUAUAAUAAUGGAACAAUGGAGGAAGAUGCAAUGUCUCAUUUGCGCAAAUCCGUAGAGAAGUUAAUUCUGUUAACCGUUCGUAAUGCUCUUGAUAAGCUGGCGCAGGAAGAAGGGAAAUUGGGAGUGGGCCCAACGAGAGUUUCUGUAGACCAUGUGAAAUAUGCUUUGCAGUCUCUUGGCUUGGAUGCUAUGACUAGGAAUCAUUAGAUUGGAAGAGUUUGCUGGGCUAAGAUGCUAUUGCUUGUUUUCAAUGGCAUGAAUGAUCUUUUUUGUAUUUCCUCUUUAUUUUGAUCUUAUUCUAGACGAUAUUACAAAUCUAGCUAUCCUAGUGAACUUAUUGACAUUAGCUUUAUGUUUCGCGAAUAGACCUGCCCUUGUGUUGUUCAUUGCCGAUCAAAGGCCUAGCUACUUGAACACUAAUGACAUGAUUUGCUGCAUUAUGAUUGA